CACCUGACAGUGUGUUAAAGUUAAAUUCUGUUAGUGCUGCACUAAAAGAAUUGUUAGUAAUAAGUCCAUGCAGCGAAGGAAGUGAACAAUUGUGGGACCGUAUAUGGGCUGAAAAUGAGUGUGGUACGGAAACCCAGAAAUAGCAUGAGUUCAACAUACAACAUGAAUUAGAAUUUUAGUGGGGGAUCAAGUCAAGUCUCGAAGUGUUACAGGAUGGAAGAGUGAGCCUACAGUUGAAAAACACUGAAAGUGCAUUACCAUUAAGGUAUGAGGUAAAGUAAUAGAGUAUGCAAAUUGUCUAAUGAGAAGUACCAUCUUGUGUGAAUGAAUCCUGUGUAACAACAAUCCUUUAUAGUUCUGUCAUAGCUAGAAGCCUCAAAUAAUUCUGCUUCUCUUGCUAAAGAACAACUUGUCCUUUACGUUCAGAGUGUUGGUGAAGCUGGAUACUUAAAUGGCCCUAAAGAUGUUUCGUUUCGUUGGCGUUGCAGCGAUGAACAUCAUACAUGGACUUUUUAGGAAAGGAUUUUCAGCAUACUGGGAACACAACUAUCAACAAUGCAACAUUCUAGGGGUGCUAUUUUAUCAUUCAAGAGCCUUAUACAAUGAUUUUCAUCUGCAAUUUGUAUGGCCUUUCCCAAGCUUCUGCCAGAAGUUGAAUCUAUAAGUCAUGUAAGUCACAUGAGCAACAAUUGAGAUGCUUAAUGGUGUUGUUUUUCUUUUCUCAGCAUAGGUUAAUAGUAACAUUGGAUCUGAAAAGAUUCUUGGUUGGGGCAAGACACUGAAUAAAUUGUAUUGAUUCGAUGGAUGACAUGACAUUUCUAUACUUAAUUCGGAUUCCCCAGACGGUAUUUGAUAUUUAAAAAAUUGAAGUGCAUAUCUG